UACGGAAGGGGCAAGCGUUGUUCGGAAUCAUUGGGCGUAAAGCGUGCGCAGGCGGUGAUGUAAGACAGAUGUGAAAUCCCCGGGCUCAACCUGGGAAUGGCGAUGGAUACUGGCUCGCUAGAGUGUGAUAGAGGAUGGUGGAAUUCCCGGUGUAGCGGUGAAAUGCGUAGAUAUCAGAAGGAACAUCAGUGGCGAAGGCGGCUUCCUGGACCAAUACUGACGAUCAGGUGCGAAAGCGUGGGGAGCAAACAGG
rnacentral:rRNA from 1 species